rnacentral:rRNA from 1 species
UACAGAGGGUGCAAGCGUUAAUCGGAAUUACUGGGCGUAAAGCGUGCGUAGACGGUUGCGUAAGUCAGAUGUGAAAGCCCCGGGCUCAACCUGGGAAUUGCAUUUGAGACUGCGUAGCUAGGGUGCGGAAGAGGGAAGCGGAAUUUCCGGUGUAGCGGUGAAAUGCGUAGAGUAUCGGAAGGAACACCAGUGGCGAAGGCGGCUUCCUGGCCCAUUACUGACGUUCAGGUACGAAAGCGUGGGUAGCAAACAGG